AACGCAUAUUGCACUCUCUGGUAUUCCGGGGAGUAUGCCUGUUUGAGGGUCAGUAAAUAAUAAUUAUCAUAAUCUUUUGAUUGUGGAAUUGGGCUUUUAUUUCAUUUUAAUGAUUUAUGGCCUUAAAUUUACGUUACCGCUUGUUUAAUAUGAAAUUCGACCGAAUGGAGCAAUUAAACAUUCUCUCGUUAGGCGGAUUCAUCAAGCAAUUACGAUUUUUUGGCCGUCGAAGCACUUUUUUAGAAGUGCUUGGUCAAGAUUGUAAGAUACAUUUUUAACAAUGACCUCAAAUCAGGCAAGAAUACCCGCUGAACUUAA
rnacentral:misc_RNA from 1 species